CCUACGGGAGGCGGCAGUGGGGAAUAGUGCACAAUGGGGGAAACCCUGAUGCAGCGACGCCGCGGGAGUGAAGAAGGAAUUCGGUAUGUAAAGCUCUAUCAGCAGGGAAGAAAAUGACGGUACCUGAGUAAGAAGCCCCGGCUAACUACGUGCCAGCAGCCGCGGUAAUACGUAGGGGGCAAGCGUUAUCCGGAUUUACUGGGUGUAAAGGGAGCGUAGACGGCAGUGCAAGUCUGGAGUGAAAGGCGGGGGCUCAACCCCCGGACUGCUCUGGAAACUGUACGGCUGGAGUGCAGGAGAGGUAAGUGGAAUUCCUAGUGUAGCGGUGAAAUGCGUAGAUAUUAGGAGGAACACCAGUGGCGAAGGCGGCUUACUGGACUGUAACUGACGUUGAGGCUCGAAAGCGUGGGGAGCAAACAGGAUUAGAUACCCGUGUAGUC
rnacentral:rRNA from 1 species